rnacentral:rRNA from 2 species
GGGUUGUGAGGUUAAGCGACUAAGCGUACACGGUGGAUGCCCUGGCAGUCAGAGGCGAUGAAGGGCGUGCUAAUCUGCGAUAAGCGCCGGUAAGGUGAUAUGAACCGUUAUAACCGGCGAUACCCGAAUGGGGAAACCCAGUGUGACUCGUCACACUAUCAUUAACUGAAUCCAUAGGUUAAUGAGGCGAACCGGGGGAACUGAAACAUCUAAGUACCCCGAGGAAAAGAAAUCAACCGAGAUUCCCCCAGUAGCGGCGAGCGAACGGGGAGGAGCCCAGAGCCUGAAUCAGCAUGUGUGUUAGUGGAAGCGUCUGGAAAGGCGCGCGA